rnacentral:rRNA from 1 species
UGGGGAAUAUUGCACAAUGGGCGCAAGCCUGAUGCAGCCAUGCCGCGUGUAUGAAGAAGGCCUUCGGGUUGUAAAGUACUUUCAGCGGGGAGGAAGGGAGUAAAGUUAAUACCUUUGCUCAUUGACGUUACCCGCAGAAGAAGCACCGGCUAACUCCGUGCCAGCAGCCGCGGUAAUACGGAGGGUGCAAGCGUUAAUCGGAAUUACUGGGCGUAAAGCGCACGCAGGCGGUUUGUUAAGUCAGAUGUGAAAUCCCCGGGCUCAACCUGGGAUCUGCAUCUGAUACUGGCAAGCUUGAGUCUCGUAGAGGGGGGUAGAAUUCCAGGUGUAGCGGUGAAAUGCGUAGAGAUCUGGAGGAAUUCCGGUGGCGAAGGCGGCCCCCUGGACGAAGACUGACGCUCAGGUGCGAAAGCGUGGGGAGCAAACAGG